UACGUAGGGUCCGAGCGUUGUCCGGAAUUAUUGGGCGUAAAGGGCUCGUAGGCGGUCCGUCACGUCGGGAGUGAAAACUCAGGGCUCAACCCUGAGCGUGCUUCCGAUACGGGCGGACUAGAGGUAUGCAGGGGAGAACGGAAUUCCUGGUGUAGCGGUGGAAUGCGUAGAGAGUCCGGAAGAACACCGGUGGCGAAGGCGGCCUGCUGGGCAGUAGCUGACACUGAGGCGCGACAGCGUGGGGAGCA
rnacentral:rRNA from 1 species